GACGAACGCUGGCGGCGUGCUUAACACAUGCAAGUCGAACGGAAAGGCCCUGCUUUUGUGGGGUGCUCGAGUGGCGAACGGGUGAGUAACACGUGAGUAACCUGCCCUUGACUUUGGGAUAACAUCAGGAAACUGGGGCUAAUACAGGAUAGGAGCUCCUGCUGCAUGGUGGGGGUUGGUAAGUUUCGGCGGUUGGGGAUGGUCUCGCGGGUUCUCCGCUUGUUGGUGGGGUAGUGGCUUACCAAGGCUUUGACGGGUAGCCGGCCUGAGAGGGUGACCGGCGACAAUGGGACUACGAUACGGCCCAGAAGCCUACGGGCGGCAGCAGUGGGGAAUAUUGCACAAUAGGCGGAAGCCUGAUGCAGCAACGCCGCGUGCGGGAUGACGGCCUUCGGGUUGUAAACCGAUGUCGCCUGUGACGAAGCGUGAGUGACGGUAAUGGGUAAAGAAGCACCGGCUAACUACGUG
rnacentral:rRNA from 1 species